CGCGUAGGUGGUCUUGUGUGUCUACCGUGAAAGCAUACGGCUCAACCGUGUUCCGUCGGUAGAAACUGCAGGACUUGAGGCUGGGAGGGGCUGGUGGAAUUCCCUGUGUAGCGGUGAAAUGCGUAGAGAUGGGGGAGAACACUCGUGGCGAAGGCGGCCAGCUAGACCAGUUCUGACACUGAGGCGCGACAGCGUGGGGAGCAAACA
rnacentral:rRNA from 1 species